UCUGGUGGCUUGACGCCGUGGAAACACCCGUUCCCAUUCCGAACACGGAAGUGAAACGCGGUAGUGGCGAUGAUACUCAAGGGGAAAGUAGCCAGCCGCCGGAU
rnacentral:rRNA from 1 species